rnacentral:rRNA from 1 species
AAUCAACGCUGGCGGCGUGCCUCAGACAUGCAAGUCGAACGAUUAAGACUCUCUUCGGAGAGUGCAUAAAGUGGCGCACGGGUGAGUAACACGUAAGUAAUCUACCCUCGAGUGGGGAAUAACAACCGGAAACGGUUGCUAAUACCGCAUAAUGCAGCGGCACCGCAAGGUGACAGUUGUUAAAGAUUUAUCGCUUGGGGGAGGAGCUUGCGGCAGAUUAGCUAGUUGGUAAGGUAAUGGCUUACCAAGGCUACGAUCUGUAACCGGUCUAAGAGGACGGUCGGUCACACUGACACUGAAUAACGGGUCAGACUCCUACGGGAGGCAGCAGUCGGGAAUUUUGGGCAAUGGGCGAAAGCCUGACCCAGCAACGCCGCGUGAAGGAUGAAGUAUUUCGGUAUAGUAAACUUACGAAAGAAUAGGAAGAAUUAAUGACGGUACUAUUUAUAAGGUCCGGCUAACUACGUGCCAGCAGCCGCAGU